rnacentral:piRNA from 1 species
UAGCCUAAGAAGAAACUUGUUUGACGGG